rnacentral:rRNA from 1 species
UAGCCGUAGAGUAUGAUCCUGGGUCGGAUUGUCUAGUUGGGGUGGUAAUGGAUCACCAAGGCGACGAUCCGUAACUGGUCUGAGAGGAUGAUCAGUCACACUGGAACUGAGACACGGUCCAGACUCCUACGGGAGGCAGCAGUGGGGAAUAUUGGACAAUGGGCGAAAGCCUGAUCCAGCCAUGCCGCGUGUGUGAAGAAGGUCUUCGGAUUGUAAAGCACUUUAAGUUGGGAGGAAGGGUUGUAGAUUAAUACUCUGCAAUUUUGACGUUACCGACAGAAUAAGCACCGGCUAACUCUGUGCCAGCAGCCGCGGUAAUACAGAGGGUGCAAGCGUUAAUCGGAAUUACUGGGCGUAAAGCGCGCGUAGGUGGUUAGUUAAGUUGGAUGUGAAAUCCCCGGGCUCAACCUGGGAACUGCAUUCAAAACUGACUGACUAGAGUAUGGUAGAGGGUGGUGGAAUUUCCUGUGUAGCGGUGAAAUGCGUAGAUAUAGGAAGGAACACCAGUGGCGAAGGCGACCACCUGGACUGAUACUGACACUGAGGUGCGAAAGCGUGGGGAGCAAACAGGAUUAGAUACCCU